rnacentral:rRNA from 1 species
CCUACGGGAGGCAGCAGUGGGGAAUUUUGGACAAUGGGGGCAACCCUGAUCCAGCCAUUCCGCGUGAGUGAAGAAGGCCUUCGGGUUGUAAAGCUCUUUCGCAAGGGAAGAAAACUUAUGAUCGAAUAAAUCAUGAGGUUGACGGUACCUUGAUAAGAAGCACCGGCUAACUACGUGCCAGCAGCCGCGGUAAUACGUAGGGUGCGAGCGUUAAUCGGAAUUACUGGGCGUAAAGCGUACGCAGGCGGUUUUGUAAGUCGGAUGUGAAAUCCCCGGGCUCAACCUGGGAACUGCGUUCGAAACUGCAAGGCUAGAGUGUGUCAGAGGGGGGUAGAAUUCCACGUGUAGCAGUGAAAUGCGUAGAGAUGUGGAGGAAUACCAAUGGCGAAGGCAGCCCCCUGGGAUAACACUGACGCUCAUGCACGAAAGCGUGGGGAGCAAACAGGGUAUAGACUACCCGUGGUACGUCCACCGACCCUAAACGAUGUACUAACUUAGUUGUUAGGUAGUAAGUAAACUCUAUAGUAACGUAACGUAGUACGUACGUCGUAGUAAGUCGACCGCGGUAGGGGUAGGUACGGUCGAGAAGUAAUUAAACAGAAAGUAGUGGACGCGNGAGAGNGACGACGACGACGACGAGGGAGAGG